UGUAGGGAUGCCUCUAGCACUGAGAUGCAGUGCCUUAGACCGCUGCGCCACAAUUAAAUUCGCAAUGAUUGUACAUCCACUAAGAAAAGUCCACAAAAACCUAAAAUAAACAUUGAUAUGAAGAAGUCAGCAUACAAGUGACACGACACAUGCUUGACAGCCUCAGGAACUAUGCCUCUUCUGACCUCAGUAUUGCGAAGAAGGGAGGAGAGUAAAUGUGCAGAGGCAGAAACCGGGGCAUGCCUGGCAAGCUGUUCCAUGAUGAAGGGGCUCUGAACAGGAAAAGACCCUGCCCUCCAGCUGUGCUUUUAGAUAUUCUCAGGAUGACUUAGGUCAAAGUGUGGUGAUUAAAGCGUGCAUGUUGGUUUAUAUUGUUUGAGCAUGUCAUUGAGUACUGUUACGUGGGAGCUUAUAAAUGUAGGUUAUGCAGUUUGCAAAUCUCACUUUUAUGAGAAUUAGUAUAAAUCAUGUUUU